rnacentral:tRNA from 1 species
CUUUAAUUAGCUAUAGAAGUUUAUGACUCUUAAUCAUACGAAAGUGAAAAUCACUAUUAAAGA